CCAAAGAAUUCGAAUUUCAUGGAAAAUAUGGGUUUUGAUGGAGCUUGAAGCCAUGGGAGCUUGAAGCAAGCUUCUCCCUUCAUUCUAGGUGUACCUAGGGACUGUGAACGUUUGGAUUCUCGUGGAGUAUGAUAAGUAGCUUGUUCUUCAAGUAAGCAGAUUGUAAAGCUCAAAGAGGAACACAGUUAAUUGAAGAGCCUCAUGGGACAAGGACACUAACCGUGGCUAGAGGUACUAGUAUGA